CCUACGGGAGGCUGCAGUGAGGACUCUUGGUCAAUGGACGAGCGUCUGAACCAGCCAAGUCGCGUGAAGGAUGACUGCCCUCUGGGUUGUCAACUUCUUGAAGAUGGGAAUAAAAUGUUCAACGUGUGGGCUUUUGUAUGUACCAUAUGAAUAAGGAUCGGCUAACUCCGUGCCAGCAGCCGCGGUAAUACGGAGGAUCCGAGCGUUAUACGGAUUUAUUUGGUUUAAAGGGAGCGUAGGUGGAUUAUUAAGUCAGUUGUGAAAGUUUGCGGCUCAACCGUAAAAUUGCAGUUGAAACUGGCAGUCUUGAGUACAGUAGAGGUGGGCGGAAUUCGUGGUGUGGCGGUGAAAUGCUUAGAUAGCACGAAGAACUCCGAUUGCGAAGGCAGUUCACUGGACUGCAACUGACACUGAGGCUCGAAAGUGUGGGUAUCAAACAGGAUUAGAUACCCGAGUAGUC
rnacentral:rRNA from 1 species